UUAGCAAACAUUUCACGCUGCUGCAACUGGAAGAUGCUCUGGAGCCGUGUGGGAGCUCAUCUGUUUUAUCCCAGGGCGGCAUCCCAGCGGGUGCUGUGUAAGAGCCUCCGGGGAGUGUCGUCAGCAAGAAUUCUGUGUGCAGGGAGGUAGCGCUUAAAAUAGUUCAGAUGUACAGAAAACACGUCCUUGCUCCUGAGACACUGAGUAGUCUUGUGUUCACGGUUUAAACCAGCUGGAGCUCAUCUUCUGAAUACCACCAAAACCUCACCUCAGAGUUAUUAUUGACAGAGCAUUCACCACAACCAGUGCUUAAUUACUCUACCUGGAUCAUUGCUAUUGAAAAAUGAUGCUUCGUUUUUCCCUUCUAUUUUCCAAACUAGCUUUUGGCUGUUCAUUUAUUGUUGAGAGACUGAAGAAACGGUUAUCAAAAAUGUUUUUUUCACCCAUGCAGGCGCAGUCUUGGAGUGCACCAGCGCUGCAAUAAUGGUUUUCUGCUUAAAGUACUGCGUGAUUAGAGAGCAUGAGGUCCGUGUCUCCAUGUGUCCGGACACUCGGCACUUAGCAAGCUUGUCCGGAGAAUAGUUUUCUUUGCGGACCUGAGGUCCUGUAGCUUGGAUUUGCUGCAUCGAUAGAGAGGAAGGAGACCUUGCGCGCAGCCAAAAUGGCAUCGUAACCCAGACUUUGAACAUUGUUUGAGAGCUCUGCUCUGAAAAUAGGCGUAAAAAUAGCAGCCGGGCCACAAGCUCAACUAUUCCCAGUGUGCACAAAAGGAUGGGAGAGUGCCAGAAGCCUGCCUGCGCUGCCUCUGCCCUGCCUUCAGCCUGGCUUGUUCUCUCCUACCUCCCCUGAAUGGCUUUUCACUGCUGUUAAAAAGAGAGACAUACCCCCAAAAGAGCAAAGUGUGUUUGUUCUUGACCCUCGCCUCGAAAGUGUAUGAAGAGGGAUCAGCUCUGUUUGUUUGUACCCGGUAAUGAUGUCAGGAAAAGGUUUUUUUCCCAAGUCUGGUUUUAUCCCCUUUGUUGGAAGUGCCUUUGGUGAGUCUCACACCCUGGUGCUGUUAGCACAACAAUUAGGUUAACAGUGCCUUGGCUCCAACUGUCUGUCAAAGGCUGAAUUGCAAUGCAAAUUAACUCGGCUUUAGCUCUUCAAAGACAGAUGGGUUCGGAAAAGGUCCCCAGAAAGCUCCAUGAGAAUUGAGGGCGAGGGAUGGGGAGUGUGGGCUGGGUGGGAUUUUACACGCAGGACCCAAUGCGUUUCGCACGAGGGAUGCCAUACAUUACACAGAUAGAUUAUAGGAAUGCAGUACAUUACGAAUACACGACAGAAAUGUGCUGCAUUAUACACAUCCUUCCAGUACUUAAAGGGGGUUUAGAAGAAAGAUGGGGACAGAGCUUUUAGUCAGGCCUGUAGUGAUAGGGUAAGGGGUGACAGUUUUAAACUAAAAGAGGGGAGAUUUGGAUUUAACAUAAAGAAGAAAUUCUUUAUGAAGUAGGUGAUGAAGCACCGGCACAAAGUUGCCCAGGAAGGUGGUAGAUAAUGGAUGCCCCAUCCCUGGAAACUUUCAAAGUCAGGUUGAUGAGGCUUUGAGAAAUCUGAUCUAGUGGAAGGUGUCCUUACCCAUGGCAGGGGAGUUGCACAACGUGGUCUUCAAAGGACCCUUCCAAGCCUGCCCUGGGAUUUUAGGACAGGUUUCUUAGCCAGGCUGACAUUUUCCUGCCCAGGGGCAAUGCAGUCCACAGGUGGUGGGUACCACCACCCCUUCUAGAGCAUCUCCCCAGCCCAGGUACCAAGCCCAUUUUUAUCUGCUUCAUUAUACUUAUUUCUGUAUUUUCCAUAUGGGCACAUACAUAUGGCCUGUUUAAACAAGUUUUCAGGGUUAAUUAGAAAGCAGUUCUUUAUCGGUUAUUUAAUAUUUAGCACUUCUGAAGUAAUUUUCACCUGCAGAAACCACAAAGGCAGGCAAGGCUGGUGGUCCAGCUCUACUGAUGGGCAGCCAGAGGUUCCAAAGCCCUGGUCCCUACUCACAGUGAACAGGGAUGUGCCCAAGAUCACCUAGAGUAGCUAUGGCAGGGCCCCCGAAAGAUAUUAUUAACUCUUGGACCCCAUUCCUGUGCUCCAUUCCUUCACAGCAUACACCAUGUUAUAUUUUCUGACACUCUGUUCAUGACAAUAAAGCAAUCAGUUGUCAAGUAAUUGAGGCAAGAGGAAGUGCAAAGGGAGGGGAAAAUCACCCUAAAGAUGUCAAUCUCAUUUAUAGCAGCAUGGAAAGUUUAAACAUCUUUAAAAGUACACUGCAUGUGUAAAUGGGCAGUGUGUCUUUCAUCAGCAGAUACGGGAAUGAGAAAUAGCUUUUUGUUGGUGGUUUUCUUUUUCCCUAUUAAUUUCCCAUAUUCAUCAGAGUAGAAAAGGGGUUGAGGCUCUCUAAAGAAACAAAGAAAUUGGCCUCAGUGUGCAUGAGCUCACUCUGGAGGCUGGUGAACAAGAUGUUAAACUGAAAAAAUACUGCCAAAUUUCCACUUUUCAGGGUGCAGAAGUGACUGUUUUAAAAGCAAUGGGAUUUUCCUGCAAGUGAGGAUGCAAACACUGAUGCUGGCACCUCCUCUGUCACCCCAGGUGAUGCUGAGAGCACCCUGCAGCUCACAGCCUCUGCAAUGGCUUUGGCUGUGGCAUCAGUGACUGCAGAGUUUGCUGGGAUAUUUCACAGGCAGGUUCUACUUGUGCCAUUGAUUUGGAGGUGAAGUGAGGAGUCCAUCCCCUUCCCCACACUCCAGCUCCAUAACAAACCUUCCUAAGUUAUUAUUUAAGAUGCUGGCAAAUAAUGUUCUUCCUCUGUUAAUUUUUGUUCACGCUCUUUAUCACAAAGCAGAUUUUGAGCAGAUUUUGGGCCUGGGUGCUUGGAGUCUUAUUAACAUUUAAUGAAGCUGCCCCAAAUGUAGCCCCUUUCUAACUAAUUUAGGCGUGUGUUCUGCAAAUACUGUGUGU